rnacentral:rRNA from 1 species
AACNCGAAGAACCUUACCAAGGCUUAAAUGCAGACUGACCGAUUUGGAAACAGAUCUUUCGCAAGACAGUUUACAAGGUGCUGCAUGGUUGUCGUCAGCUCGUGCCGUGAGNUGUCAGGUUAAGUCCUAUAACGAGCGCAACCCCUGUUNUUAGUUGCCAGCGAGUAGUGUCGGGAACUCUAACAAGACUGCCAGUGCAAAACUGUGAGGAAGGUGGGGAUGACGUCAAAUCAUCACGGCCCUUACGCCUUGGGCUACACACGUGCUACAAUGGCCGGUACAGAGAGCAGCCACCUCGCGAGGGGGAGCGAAUCUAUAAAGCCGGUUACAGUUCGGAGUNGGANUUUUCAAAUUCGCUCCGGGGCACCCCCNAUUGUUUGGUUGUNUGNUCAUCAACGNCCACNGGUACCCCNCGUNGUGAGU